rnacentral:piRNA from 1 species
UCUUUCUCAAAGUAUAUUUGA